AUUGAACGCUGGCGGCAGGCCUAACACAUGCAAGUCGAGCGGUAAGGCUCCUUCGGGAGUACACGAGCGGCGAACGGGUGAGUAACACGUGAGCAAUCUGCCCUUCACACUGGGAUAACCCCCGGAAACGGGAGCUAAUACCAGAUACGACCACUUCGGGCAUCCGAUGGUGGUGGAAAGUUCCGGCGGUGAAGGAUGAGCUCGCGGCCUAUCAGCUUGUUGGUGAGGUAAUGGCUCACCAAGGCGUCGACGGGUAGCCGGCCUGAGAGGGUGACCGGCCACACUGGGACUGAGACACGGCCCAGACUCCUACGGGAGGCAGCAGUGGGGAAUAUUGGACAAUGGGCGAAAGCCUGAUCCAGCAACGCCGCGUGAGGGAUGACGGCCUUCGGGUUGUAAACCUCUUUCAGCAGGGACGAAGCGAAAGUGACGGUACCUGCAGAAGAAGGACCGGCCAACUACGUGCCAGCAGCCGCGGUAAAAC
rnacentral:rRNA from 1 species